rnacentral:lncRNA from 1 species
CUUCUAACUUCGUUUGAUUUUGAAUCAUACGAGACAUGUGAGGCUUGCUUGCUAGGCAAGAUGACCAAGACGCCUUUCACAGGAUUUCCUGAGAGAGCAGUAGUGUGACGAUCGACCCCUAAUCUUCCAAGUUAAUCUUAAUCGGAGCCCUUGAUCAUAGUCAUUUGUCUUGUUUUACCGCGCCUGAGUGCUCAGCCUUCAGCCCGAUCCCGACCCUUGAGACCCGACCCCUCCCCGCUUCGCUCCGAUCCCGACCCCGGCGAGCUCAGCCCACCGUCGG